GCGAUGCGCUUAGGGGUAACACCCGUUCCCAUCCCGAACACGAUGGUUAAGACCUAAGCGGCCGAUGGUACUUUACUGGAGACGGUACGGGAGAGUAGGUGGCUGCCGGAU
rnacentral:rRNA from 1 species